ACGGGGGGCCGGUGCAUGGCUCCCCCUGUGCCGUACGACACCGAACGGGUUGACCUCGUACGCUGGCGCAUACAUGACGCGCUUAAACUGCAACAAGGACAAAAACCAGCACCAGGCAUUACUUUUUGUUGCGGGGGAAAUGGUCGCUCUUCUUUUUUACCAGCAGAGCAGAGCAGCAUAAUAGUAACAAUAUUAUUAAGUACAUCCACAAAAUAUUCGGAUUUAUGGUAGUGUGUGGGCGGGUGUGCAUUUUUUUAUUAUUUAUCAAUCAUGUUAAAAUAGUACUUCGGGCUUCAAUAAAACAACACAACAUCCCCCACAUCAUGCAAGGCGGCGGCAGCAGAGGCACAGCAUAUAGCGGUGGUGAGAACAGUGGCGGCGGCGACAAAGCAGCGGCGGAGGCAGAGGCAGCAGCGGCGGUGGCGGUAACGACGGUGGCGACAGUGGCGGCUGUGACGGCAGCGGCGGCGGCAGAGGCAGCAGCGACAGCGGUGCCGACAGAGGGGUAACGACAGCGGCAGCAGCUACUACAAGAGGUGGUGGUGUCAGUGGCCGUGGCGACAAAGCAGGGGCGGAGGCAGAGGCAGCAGCGACAGCGGUGGCGACAGCGGCAGCGGCUACAGAGGUGGUGGUGAUAGUGGCUUUGCGGCGACGGUGGCUGCAGCGACAGCAGCUGCGGCAGGAGAGGCAGCAGCGGCGGUGGCGACGGUGGCGACGGUGGCGGCGGCGGUGGAAGCAGCGGUGGUGGCGACAGCGACAGCGGCAGCGGCAGCGGCAGCGGCGGUGGUGACGGCGGCGGCGACAGCGGCGGCGGUGGCGGCGGUGACGACGGUGGCGACAGUGGCGGCGGCGACAAAGCAGCGGCGGCAGCAGAGGCAGCAGCGACAGCGGUGCCGACAGCGGCAGCAGCUACAGAGGUGGUGGUGUCAGUGGCGGCGGCGACAAAGCAGCGGCGGAGGCAGAGGCAGCAGCGACAGUGGUGGCGACGGUGGCGACAGCGGCAGCGGCUACAGAGGUGGUGGUGAUAGUGGCUUUGCGGCGACGGUGGCUGCAGCGACAGCAGCUGCGGCAGGAGAGGCAGCAGCGGCGGUGGUGACGGUGGCGACGGUGGCGGCGGCGGUGGAAGCAGCGGGUAGUGGCGACAGCGACAGCGGCAGCGGCGGUGGUGACGGCGGCGGCGACAGCGGCGGCGGUGGCGGCGGUGGCGGCGGUAACGACGGUGGCGACAGUGGCGGCGGCGACAAAGCAGCGGCGGCGGCAGAGGCAGCAGCGACAGCGGUGCCGACAGAGGGGUGGCAACAGCGGCAGCAGCUACAGAGGUGGUGGUGUCAGUGGCAGCGGCGACAGUGGCUGCAGCGACAGCAGCUGCGGCAGCAGCGGCGGCGGCGGUGGCGGCGGUGGCGACGGUGGCGGCGGCGGUGGAAGCAGCGGUGGCGACAGCGGUGGUGACAGUGGCGGUGGCAGCGGUGGCGGCAGCGACAGCGGCCGCGGCGGCGGCAACAGCACGACAGUGGCGACACAUAGCGACACGGCAGCCCCUUUUCUCCUACUAUAUUAUACCCAUAUGCAUGCCUGAUCCCUCUCCCUCUCUCCUCCUCCUCUCACCUCGAGGGCGCGCUUCACCUCCAGCUCUGCCGCCUCUCCCAUGGUGCUCAACUCGAUGGUCUCCAGCUGCUUGCAGGACAGCAUG
rnacentral:lncRNA from 1 species